GAUCCAUGAAAUGACAAAAGAUUCCCUCUUUUGAUAAAUACCCAAACUGGACCUUAGAAGAUCCAUGUUGUAUGAUCUCCUGCAGCAUAGCCAUCCAGCCAA